UCGUUUCGAGUUUUUUUUAGCCGAGCCAACUUGCUUGCACCCCUAGGCUAACAUGAUGCGGAUGACACGUGGCGAAAAAAGCCAUUUAUGGUAAGAAUUGCUAUUAAAAAUACAACUUGUAUUUACUACUUAGAAAAAAUAAAAAUUUUUGGGCUAAAAGUACAAAAUUAAGUAGUUUUGGGUUAAAAAGGUAAUAUCAAUUUUUUUAAAAAAAAGCCCUUAUGCAUCAACUUGUUGCAAAUUUAGACUAUGUAAAUAAUAGUAAAAUUCAGUUUUUAAAUCCAAAAGACAGUAAAUUCAGUUUAAUAUAUGAUGCCCAUAUAUUAUGAAGCCCAAAACCAUUGAUCAACACACCCUCCACAGUAUGAAGCCCAAACCCACAUUUGUAACUUGUAAGAAAAACCAAAUGGCAUUUCACAGACCAAAAGCAAACCAAAAAUUGGGGAUCUGAUGCUCGGAAAAUCAAAUGAGGCUCCGGCGAGAGAGAGAGACGGGGAGUUUUUAAGGGUAGUUGCCCCUUUCUUGCCAUAACAUGAUCUGAUCGGAUCGUGUUGAGCCAGUGAGUUUGACCCCCAUUUUUGCAUAAAAUCAACAACCCUUGGAAGACAGGACAAGAAAGCAUGAUAAUAUGAUGGAUAGAUCAUAGUCACUUGAUAGAACCCCACUCUUUCUCUUUCUCUCUCUACAUAUAUAUUCCUGUUUGUGUGUGUGACUGUGAGUGAAUGCUCUUCUACGGGGGUUGUUUGGCCUAGCUUUUUUAACAAAGCUUAUAGCUUUUUUUACAAAAUAAGCUUUUUUACAAUUACGAUAUGUUGGACGGUGAUAUACGAGGGCGAUGAUAGUGAUUUCUGUAUGGAUUUUUAUCCGAGCAUCGUAAUCGGGCAUAGGGUUAAAUUUGGCCCGUAUCUUGGCGAGGCAACCCGGAUGGUAUGUGAAAUGCAACCGGUAUUGUAGCCAUGGCGGUGUCCUAUCCCUUUGCUCGACUUCAAAUUACAGAUCUGAGCCUCAAUUUCUUCAUUUGAAUCAUCGAAUGUUUUCUUUUUCUUUUUCUUUUUUUUUAAAUCAUAGAUUUUAGUGGAUACGCAUAUUUGAGAGAAAAAUGCCCGGAUAGUCCCUGUGGUUUCGCAAUUUUUCACCUAUAGUCCCCAACUUUUUAAAAUUACCUGAAUAGUCCCCAACUUUUCAUUUUUUGUUCCCGGAUAGUCCAUAUGUCUAACUUCAGUUUGUUUUCUCUGUUAAGUGGGUGUGAAAUGACAAAAAUACCCUUUCCUUUAAAAGGCCAAACCACAGGGACUAUCCGGACAUCUUCUACAUUUUUAGAGAAAAACCCCACCACCACACUUUCCGGCGAAAUUAAUUUCCGGCGAUUUUAAAUCUUGAACGCGAGUUAUUCCGGCACCGCCGCCUUUCCGGUGAACUGACUUCGACCACAAAUACACACAUCUUUGAACAAAACAGGAAAACAUUUACAUUACAAGGACUAAAAAAAUUUAUUGUUUCAAAGAACCUUCAAGUAGGCGAUACAGUUACAUUUUACAAAAGACAGUCGAAUGAAACAAUUAUAGUGGAUGUAAAAAAGACUUACGGUGAGACAUCACCUCAUCAGGCAUGAAUCGGCAGUGGAAAGUCACAAGUUAAUCUCGGUGGAUGAAUAUUAUUGUUGAGGGGUUGCUGCUUUAUCUUUUCUUAAAUUUGAAUUUUGAUAUAGUGUUCUGUUGCCGCAGCUGCAAUUAUAGUUGUAAACUUUAAAAUGUUGUUGUGGUAGAUAGGCACACCAUACAUUAUGCUGUCUUUUAUUCAAGGCUUAGACAAGGUGAACUUUUGGCAUGAAUGUGUGUAUGUUGAAUAUUAAUUUGAUCUUAUGAUGUGUUAC